CCUACGGGGAGGCAGCAGUGGGGAAUCUUAGACAAUGGGGGCAAGCCUGAUCUAGCCAUGCCGCGUGAGUGACGAAGGCCAUAGGGUCGUAAAGCUCUUUCGCCAGAGAUGAUAAUGACAGUAUCUGGUAAAGAAACCCCGGUUAACUCCGUGCCAGCACCCGCGGUAAUACGGAGGGGGUUAGCGUUGUUCGGAAUUACUGGGCGUAAAGCGCACGUAGGCGGAUUUUUAAGUUAGAGGAGAAAUCCCAGGGCUCAACCCUGGAACUGCCUUUAAUACUGGGAGUCUUGAGUUCGAGAGAGGUGAGUGGAAUUCCGAGUGUAGAGGUGAAAUUCGUAGAUAUUGGGAGGAACACCAGUGGGGAAGGCGGCUCACUGGCUCGAUACUGACGCUGAGGUGAGAAAGUGUGGGGAGCAAACAGGAUUAGAUACCCUGGUAGUCCCCCCCGUAAACGAUGAAUGCCAGUCGUCGGGCGGCAUGCCUUUUGGUGUCACACCUAACGGAUAAGCAUCC
rnacentral:rRNA from 1 species